CCUACGGGUGGCAGCAGUGGGGAAUGUUGCGCAAUGCUCGGAAGAGUGACGCAGCGACGCCGCGUGAAUGACGAAGGCCUUCGGGUCGUAAAGUUCUUUCGACAGGGAAGAAAAUGCCGAUAAGUAACUGUGUAUGUAUUGACGGUACCGGUAGAAGCAGCCCCGGCUAACUCCGUGCCAGCAGCCGCGGUAAUACGGAGGGGGCGAGCGUUGGUCGGAGUGACUGGGCGUAAAGAGCACGUAGGCGGUGUUGUAAGUCAUGAGUCAAAGACUUGCGCUCAACUUUAGUAAGGCUAGUGAUACUCUCAUCCUCGCGUAUCAGAGAGGAUUGCAGACUUCCUGGUGUAGCG
rnacentral:rRNA from 1 species